AACUCAGUUGAUGAACACUGUUUAUUAACAGUGAUUUUACGCUUUAGCCCCUGUAUUGCUGUUUGUUUGCCCUUUUAUUUUUCAAUCUUAACAGUAAAAUGGCAGUUUUAUCCCUGUGGUACACGUGUGGGUAUAAUGGUCCUUGAGUUCCAGCUGUCGUUAUCCCUUUUCGAAAGCAUAAGGCCACGUGUUGGUCAUCGCGGUAAGCUUUUCUAUUGCUUCCAGUACAGAUCUCUCGAUCUCUCCAGCUCUCUCUCAAGAACCAAAAAUCUCUUCAGUCCUCUCUCAUUUCCAGCGUCCACCACCACCACUCAGACGUCCCCAAAGGUAGAUUUCUUUUCUCUUCCUUAGAUUCGGAAUCUUGAAAAUCCUCGCCGAUAUCGUUUGAUUUCUGCACAGCUAUCGGCCAACCAAGCUCGCCCAUUUGGGCUUCCACGCCCACCCAACAAAACCCCCAUUAACAUUCACAACAAUCUACAGAGGGGUUAUGGACACCACCAUCGUGGGUCGUCUUAGAAUCCGAGCAGAAAAACUCAGAAGUUUAAAAAACGAAAAAAAGACAAAAACCCUCGAUUGAAUCGGAUACUGGUAUGGUCCCUUACAGGAGGAAAAAACAUCAUUUUUCUUGCUUGAAAUUUUAGUUUUUGUUAAUUUUUUUCACAGAUUGUAGUUUUUCUUUGUUGCAUUUGUCAGUUGCCCUCAACAAUGAACCACUUGCUAAACGUAAUGUUUGUUUAUUUGGGCAUGUUUAGAGGUUUUGCUUCACUGUUUUUGUCAUGAGCGCAAACGAGUCUGAUGGCGUCCACUAAAAGUCUGCAACUUGAACGCAUACGGGCAGAAAACAAGUAGAGAUAAUGUGUGAUUCUGAUGAAGGGAUUAACAAGUUACCAGAUGAGGUUGUCGAGAAGGCUGCUUCGAUUUCAAUACUCAUCCUGUUCUCCUCUUGCAAGUUUUGGUUCCAUCAGCACUAGGCGGGUCAUAAAGUGAAUCCUCUGCGAAUUCUGUUGUCUCCAGGUAGGAUUUGUAUAUCCAUGUACCUUGGGAAGACCUGGCUCUAAAACCAACGGAGCACUCCUUGAGUUCCAACCAACAUAUCCUCGCACCGGUACGUCAGCCAUUAUGCCCAUAAAGAUUACGUUUUUAUUUUUCAUUUUUGCGUUACAGAGGAAGUAGAAAUACAUGGGAGAAAUCUAGAAGAAGAAAUCUAAUAGGACUGCACAAAAUGAAGGGAAUACAAAUACUGGAUUUGAGGUGUAAGACGAGGAAUUGGGGACAGAAGAAUUUGGUAUAGUGUUUCUAAGAAACGACCAAAUGCGUAUUCCUCACUCACAUAAAAACUUUGAACUUAUAUAAUUAGUGUUGAUUUACACGUGUGCUAAACAUAAUUUAUAACUUUUUCUUACGUAUUAAUCAGUUUGAGCAUGAUUGAACUGAUUGGUUUGAGUUUGAGUGGCAACUUGGAUUCAUAUAGGCUGUAAAGUUUAGGAGCUUUUUUUGCUUAAAUAAGGCAAUACUAUUCCAACUUAUUUUCAUUGUUA